GCAGUUAACGACGUAAAUUAUCAACUGUCGCUGCCUUGAUUAGAUCCCGUUGUUCACAGGUUUGAGAGCCAUGAACUGGGUUCAGCGCAAGAUCUAUCUGUAUAAUGUCACUUUUGGUCUCUACAUGUUGGAUUGGUGGGAGCGUUCCCUUUUCAAUACUUUGGUGAUCGUGCUGAUGUGGUUCAUUUUCUACAAUGGGUCGCGAUAUGUGACCGAGUUCUGUAAGAGGCAUCUAUGGUGAAGCUCAAACUCAGACGUCAAUUUGGAUGAUCAAAAUUAUAAUGGUCAUGUAGAAUGUUUGAGCGUUGCAGUGGCAUAUCAAAUCCAUUUGCUGGAAAAUUUCCCUUGUAGUCUUCCUACAUCAUAGUGUACACCUUACUUUGGUUCUUCCUUUUAUUCAAUUAUCCUGUGUAGUGUUG
rnacentral:misc_RNA from 1 species